ensembl:lncRNA
AUGGACGUCCAGGAACACAGUGUGCCCCAGACAGGUCAUGGUAGGCGUCAGGGCGGUUUAACGGUUUGACUCUCUGUGACGUGGCCAUGUGACUGGACGUGUUCCAGGCCACUUAAGCCCCGCUGUGAGACCUGACCUGGAAAGGGGAAGGGGAAGUUCACGGCUCGGGUAAAGUGGGUCAGUGCUGCUCCACAUCCAUCCAAGCGGUGACUCACUGCGUCCUGUUGCGCUAACAUCAGCAACGGUAUCCAUGGCGACCGGAGCGGCGGCGGCCGUAAGACCGUAAAGGGCGGGGCUCGGGCCGUCUCUGACAGACAGGCAGACGGGAGCCUCCACACCGGGUUAUAACCCCUCCCGGCGGGUGUUAGGCUCCACCCCCCGGGGGGGACAGCGCUAGAUGGUGUCGAGAUAAGGUUCUCCUGAAUCCAGGAAGAUGGCCGCGCUGGUAGCGGCGCCAGACCUUGAAGGCACCGGACGGGAGGGACCGAGUUCUGAAGAAAGGGUUCGGAAGAAGGGGUUGAGAUACAAGGAGCUAGUUCUGAAGAAGGUGUUAUUGAGAAGGGGUUCCUCAGAAGGGGUUCUUGAGAAGAAGUUCUUAAAAAGGCGUUCUUAAGAAGGUGUUCAUAAUAAGGGGUUGGUGCUGAACAAGGUGUUCUGAUGAAGGUGCUUUGAAGAAGGGGUUCUUGAGAAGCGGUUCUGAAGAAGGUGUUCUGAAGAAAGGGUUCCUCAGAAGGGGUUCUUGAGAAGCGGUUCUCAGGAUGGGGUUCCUGCAGGUUCUCCAGCAGGCUAAACGCUGCACUCACAUUCACAAGGCCUUGGGAAGGAAAAGGUGGUGAUACUUGUGACUAAAUUCAAACAAACCCUUCUGUUAACUGGUUCGUCUGUAGAAUAGCUGCAGGCUACGGCUCACGACUCUUCUCCAGAACGGUUCCCACCGCACCGAAGGCCUGCUGCGCUUCAGAAUGACGUCGUCUGAACAACGCAACGCCGGCACGAUCAAAGCACUCCCAUAAAAGAGGAUUCAUUACACCAACUCAGUCAAGAAGUGAGCAAUAGUUCCAAGAAGCUCAUAAAAGCGAGGCUGUAUGUUGCUGCGAGUAAAUGAAUCUUAUAAUCCCAGUCUAAUUCAGCUGCGUUGUGUUCCAACGUGACCCUGGACUGCACCAUCAUGUAGGGGUGUCCACGGACUACACCAUCAUUCGGACAGGGGUGGGUGUUGGGGCUGUGUUCCACCUGGUGUCGUAUCCAUGGCGACCAGCUGAAGAAGACCCCCCAGGCCGAUGGUCUUAGACUGGUUCCCUGCUGUCUGGACUUCCUGUGGUUGGUCGGGUGGAGGUGAUGGAGAGGGGAAGAGGGAGGUAAACAUGACUCCAUCACAGGCCCGGUGGUUCCAUCGCUCACCAGCCGGCGAGGGGAAAAAGGCACUUAUGGGGGCCAGCGCGGAUAAACUGACCAGAGGAGGGAACUACGCUUGGCCGAACACGGUACCAGAGUGGCCCCUGGCUCCUGCUGCACCACCCAGUAGAUCCCAUCAGUAGUGACUACGAUGUCCAUUGUUGUUUAGAUCGCUCUUGGUCUGACUGGUUUAUGCUAUAUUAGACACUUCAUGUCUUGAUGAGAUGCAAAAUUAAGUAUCUUCAUCUAUUCAUGAGUCCGAUUCCAAAGCUUAUCCAAACAAAUAUUAAAUUAAAGUAAAGAUUAUUGUUGAAAAAUAAAAACACAAGACGUGCAAAACAAGCCAGGUCUAAAGACAGUGUGCUUUUCCAGCCAAACCCACCCCCGGGGCCUCAGGUCCUUUCCUUUUAAGGACACUUUUCCCUGUAGCGGGAGCACACACAGCACACACAUCAAUUAACAAAACAAACACACGCACACACACACAAUACUGACUGAAUGAAAACAAAUAACUGGCUCACUAUACGAUCAAUAUAUUGUCUCUCUCUCUGCAG